rnacentral:tRNA from 1 species
AAAAAGAUAAGCUAAUUUAAGCUAAUAGGUUCAUACCCUACGAAUGAAAAUUUUUCUCUUUUUA